rnacentral:rRNA from 1 species
GACGAACGCUGGCGGCGUGCCUAAUACAUGCAAGACGAGCGCAGGAAACUGACGGAACUCUUCGGAGGGAAGGCAGUGGAAUGAGCGGCGGACGGGUGAGUAACACGUAAGGAACCUGCCUCAAGGAUUGGGAUAACUCCGAGAAAUCGGAGCUAAUACCGGAUAGUUCAACGGACCGCAUGGUCCGCUGAUGAAGGCGCUUCGGCCUCACCUUGAGCUGGCCUUGCGGUGCAUUAGCUAGUUGGUGGGGUAACGGCCCACCAAGGCGACGAUGCAUAGCCGACCUGAGAGGGUGAUCGGCCACACUGGGACUGAGACACGGCCCAGACUCCUACGGGAGGCAGCAGUAGGGAAUCUUCCACAAUGGACGAAAGUCUGAUGGAGCAACGCCGCGUGAGUGAUGAAGGUUUUCGGAUCGUAAAACUCUGUUGUAAGGGAAGAACACGUACGAGAGGGAAUGCUCGUACCUUGACGGUACCUUACGAGAAAGCCACGGCUAACUACGUGCCAGCCGCCGCAGUAA